CAGCCGCCGCGGUAAUACCGGCGGCCCGAGUGGCGGUCACUAUUAUUGGGCUUAAAGCGUCCGUAGCCGGGUUGGGAAGUCCUCCGGGAAAUCUGGCCGCUUAACGGUCAGAAUGCCGGAGGAUACUCCCAGCCUAGGGGGCGGGGGAGGCCGAGGGGAUUCCCGGGGUAGGGGGGAAAUCCUAUAAUCCCGGGAGGACCACCUGUGGCGAAGGCGCUCGGCUGGAACGCGUCCGACGGUGAGGGACGAAGGCCAGGGGAGCAAACCGGAUUAGAUACCCGGGUAGUCCUGGCUGUAAACGAUGCGGACUUUGUGUCGGACAAGCUAUGAGCUUGUCCGGUGCCGGAGGGAAACCGUUAAGUCCGCCGCCUGGGGAGUACGGCCGCAAGGCUGAAACUUAAAGGAAUUGGCGGG
rnacentral:rRNA from 1 species